UGUAUACAUCUUUUGGCAGGCAUUAUUUGACUUUCCACAUAUACCAUUUAGUUUUUCUGGUCAAAAACACUUGUAGUGUUUUCAAUGUGGGGAAUUGUAUUUUCAGGAAGAAAUUAAUAGAUGGUGUUAUAUACAAGAGAAGAACCACGAAUCACUCAUUCACUCACCAAGUAUUUGUGUUUACUAUGUGUCAGGCACCGGACAAGGAGCGUUCUGGGGAUACAGAUAAGAGCAGAUAAGUCUGUAGAGUGUGGUGCUUAUGAGACAAGACUCCAAAGUCUGAUCAUCUGAUUUUGAACCUUGGCCUCACCAUUUAUACACUGUGUGAUGUGUGAGACAUCUUUGUGUGAAGAGGUGAUGCCUGGAGAUGGGGCAUCCAUCUCGAAGUGGUAGAGAACACAUCUGAGGUCAAGGCUAACAUCUAAGGCAGGCGGAGCAAGAAGACAGAAAGGGCCUGGAUCCCUGAUGAGCUGGAUGAGCUACUAAAUUACCUACCCUGGAGUCAGCAUAUAGCAUGUCAUUUAUUAUAUCCAUGUAAUAUAUUAAAAUAUACUCAGUGUUAAAGCCAGUCACAUUUUUCCUUCUUAGUGCUCAGAAAGCACCCUGCCUAUGCAACUAGCAGCACAGAACCUUGACCACCCAGGCUCCCAGCAGAAAGUAACUACAGCCUCUCUAUUGGUGUUAUCACAAUCCUGGCUUUGAGAAUGGAUUUUGAAUGAAGAUUUCUGACCUGCUUUUCAGGCUUCACGACCAGCCCAGACUCCAAUGUAGGGCCCAACUCAGGGCCUGAACUCAUGACCCUAAAACCACAACGUGAGCCGAGAUCAAGAGUCAGAUCCUUAACCUACUGAGCCACCCAGGGACUGCUAGUAAAGCUCAUUUUUUUGCAAGUGACUUUGGGAAAGUAAUUUGAACUCUAAGUGCUUCAUCAGUAAAUAAAUAUGUAAAUAAAUAAAACAAGAAUGAUGCAACAUUAUGUCUAGGACUCAGGGGAUUAGACAAAAUGAUAUUGUGAGCUUCCUUCUAGCUUGAAGUUUUCAUGAUUCUAAAAUUCUUGUCUAUUGAUAAUUCUGGUUAAACCUAUUGAAGGCUUAGCCAGGACCAAAAAGCCCAAGUUAAGUCCAAUAUAUUGGCUCGUUUUUCUCAAAGAGGACUGACUCUCACACCCCACCCACCUCUGCCCACUACAAAGCUUCCAUUGAAUGCGGUACUGUGUCAGCCAGUGUGAACUCCAUCUGCCUAUCUCAAAAGAAUGGAGCUCUGUACAAACAUAGUCAUACUUUUGGGGGCAUGUGAGAGUGUAUCAGGGCAAUUGAUUAUUUCUUUUAUGCAUUGAAAGCCAAAGCACAGGGAUAGAAUGCUGAUGUAAAAAGCAACAUGACCCAUUAGAAGAAAUUUAACCAGUAUCAUCAACUCAAUUUUGAACAUCUUAUUUGAUGUUUUAUUUAUUAGAAAAAUAUUUAUUGAGUGACCAAGAUGGGCCAUGUAUGAAAUACAUAAUAUUUACUAAUCAUAAGUUUAGAAGAAUGCUUUCUUUCUCCCCUGAAAAAUAACCUUUAGCAGAGCACUAAAUUAAAUGUUUCAUACUUAAGUUUCCUUUUCAGUUUUGUUCACAUCCAAUAGUAUUUUAUUUUAAUAAUAUUAUUUCACCAACAUUUAUUCUGUAUAUAUGAUUGCCAAGGACUGUGGUAAUCUAAUCCUUGGGGGAACCAAGCCAUAUGGAUUUGGUCCAUCUCUUUAAAAAGUUCACGAUGUUGGGACACCUGGGUGGCUCAGCUGGUUGAAUAUCCAACUCUCUCAGGUCAUGAUCUCAUGGUACAUGAGUUCAAGCCCUGCUUAGGGCCCUACACUGACAGCGCAGAGCCUGCUUGGGAUUCUCUCUCUCCCUCUCUCUCUGCCCCUCCCCCCCCCGCUCAUAUGCUCUCUGUCUCUCUCAAAAUAAAUAAACUUAAAAAUAAAAAAAAAUGUUUACAAGUUCAUGACAUAGAUGGGCAAUUAUAAGAUUUAUACUAAGGAAAUGCAGUCACUACAACAAAGGGGUAAAUGAGUAUUAAAUGGUAUAAACUGUGUAUAGUGCAGGGACAAAAGCAUCUCUUUGGCCUGAGGGGUGUAUAGAGGGACCUUGAAGAAGAGGUUUUGAACAAAGAGGGAGGGACAUGUGGGCUGAUCCUGAGAGGAGAGAAUAAUCAUGGGUGUGGGGACAAUGUAUAUGCUGUUUGACUUGAGAGAAUGGGUUGUAGAUAUCAUUGUAGUCUUUUCCUUAACUUCAGAUAGCCAGUCUCUUCUUUCUUUUUUCCACAAGUCUACUUGCUGCAAAGGUGAGUGUUCAAAGACCUACUACAUAACUCUUUAAAGCCCCAUGAUUUGCACUUGCCGUUGCCUUGGUCUGGACUGUCCUUUUCUUGCCUUCUCUGGUGGAUUAUUUACUCCUAUUUACUACUUAUUUUUCAAGGCCCAGGUGAAAUUUUACCUCUUCUGAGAUAUUUUCUUCCAGCAGAAGCCCCUCUUCUUGUGUUCCCAUGGCAUGAUGCUCAUCUUAAAUUAUUAUAUACAUUUUUUUGUCUCCUAUUUGUAUCAUAUUCAUCUUUGGGUCUCCAGUUUCUUCAAGAAUCCUGGUGUGAAAGAAUAUUACGCUUGUUGAGGGAAUGAAUGAGCUGGUUCUAACACUCAUAAGAUCAACUUCACCUCUCCUAAUUACCGAUUUAAUUCUAAUUUGACAUUAUGUUUUAUAGAUUCUGAGCAAAGUGGGAUACUCCCCCUUUUCCUAACAUCAGAAAACCUUGGAGAAAAGCAUUGUUAUUUUCACAGUCAAGCAUUUUAUCCUAAACCUGGGCAUCUGAAUAAAAGACAUUGACACCUGUUUCCUGCUUUUUGCUCAUAUUCUUGUAGCACUCUAUUUAUAUACUAGCACUACCAUUUUAGACACUGGAAAACCAGACAGGAAAGCUGCAGCCCCAACCCUCCUCCUCUAUGUUUUUCUGAUCACUAUUGACAUGUGAGGCUGGAGAAUUCUUUCUUGUGGAGGGUUGUCCAAUGCGCAGGUUGUUUAGCGGCAUGUUCACCAUCUACUCACUAGAUUCCAUCCACUACUCAUAGUAGAUAUCAACGAUGCAACCAAAACCAUCUCCAGACAUUGCCAGAUAAACCCUGGAGGAUGGAAUCACCCCUGGCUGCAAACUACUGCAUUAGGUCAAGAUUGCUUCAGGUCCUCCCUUAUAAACACACAC